AUUGAACGCUGGCGGCAUGCUUUACACAUGCAAGUCGAACGGCAGCGCGGGCUUCGGCCUGGCUGCGCGUGGCGAACGGGUGAGUAAUGCAUCGGAACGUGCCCCGCUGUGGGGGAUAGCAAGGCGAAAGCAGGAUUAAUACCGCAUACGACCUGCGGGUGCAAGCGGGGGGCCGAAAGGCAUCGCGGGCUUUGAGGGGCCGACGCCGGAUUAGCCAGUUUGUGGGGGAAAGGCUUACCUAGGCGGCGAUCGGUAGCUGGUCUGAGUGGAGGACCGACCACACGGGAACUGAGACACGGACCAGACUCCUACGGGAGGCAGCAGUGGGCAAUUUGAGGCAAUAGUGGCAACCCUGAUCCAACGAGGCGGCGUGCGGGAAGAAGGCCUUCGGGUUGUAAACCGCUUUUGUGCGGGAAGAAAUCCUCUGGGCUAAUACCCCGGGGGGAUGACGGUACCGGAAGAAGAAGCACCGGCUAACUACGUG
rnacentral:rRNA from 1 species